UUCCCCUUCUCCUUCAACAUUUUCAAAAAAUCCAGAACCACCAAGAGUCAUUUCGUUCAUUCUCUGCUCAUCUCCUCCUUGCCGUUGUUCUUCAUUUCUUCCCUUACCACCGCUAGCUUGCAUCUUUCCUUUUCUUCUAUUGUACGUUCGCCGCUGAGCUUGCUUGUUUCUUCUCCACUGAGGAUCUGCUGUGAAACGUUGCUGUGUUUAGAUCACUGGAGCUUGCUGCUGCGAGAAAGCUGUUCAAGUCGACCUACUCGCUCCUUACUCAGGCUUCACCAUUGAUUCCUUCUUCUCCCUCCUUUGGCGUCGUCUAAGUGAUAUCACAGCUUUCUCAUUUCUAAUCUCCUCUCUCGUUCGGUCUCACUAGUCAGUCCUCAUAGUGGUGCUGCCUGUCUGUCGUCAUCCACCCACCCCCAACUUAGUCACCGUCCACCGUCUCACCGCCGUGCCAUCUCUGUUGUCGUCCACCCACCUCUAACAGUUGUGCCGUCUCACAGUCGGUUCUCACAUAGGCAACGAUCUUUCAGCCAUCCACUAACUCUGUGCAGAUUUGUGGUCCUUGUGGCGUUGCCUCCUCCAUCCACUGUCUCCAAGUUGCUUCCAGUGGUGGUGAUCUCGUGCCAUAGUCGAGGAAGGCAGUAAGCUUUAUCUAUACUCUCUUGCCUCGAUCUGCUCAUGGUCUUCCGUCCGUCACUAAUCUACUCGUGGUCCUCUUCAGUCGGUCCAGCUUAGAGGUAAAUGAUCUUCUCUAACCUUUUUUUGGAUGAUCUUAGUCAGGUUUGAUCUUGGUCAUACUCUAUUUCCCUCUUCACUCUGAUUUAUGCACGGAUGAAUUUGUUCUCAUGAUUGCUGGCUUAGUUUUGUGUGGUUUGAACCAUUUACAACUCUUGAACAUUUACAAAUAAUAAUGUGGGUGAAAGUUGAUUUUUCAUGCUGUUUUUUGUGUUAGUUUUGUGCCCAGUCGAACUCUGUGCUGAAUAUGGGAGAACUGUUAAAAGUUAAUUUUUUAGCUAUUGAAACCUGAUUUUAGUUAAAAUCUUAUACAUUUGCAAAUUGUGAGAAAGCUGUUGAAAGUUGGUUUUGUGCCUAGUCGAACUCUUUAUUGGUUUCGGUCUGUGUGAUCACUGAUUACUGGAGCUUUAUUCUUAAACAAUAUGUUUUGCAUAUAUAGGGGUCAUUUAGUUGAAUUUUUUGCUGUGUGAUUCUCUAUUGAAUUUGGCUCAUCUGAAAAUUGUCAAGUUUUUGUCAUGUAAUAUUUUAAUUACAAUUCCUAUAAUUAACAUGUUAGUUUUUUAUAUAGUAUAAUGAUUAAUAAUAAGUCAAAAGCUUCAUGGGAUCGAAGAAAUACUAGAAUAUUUAUUGACAUUUGUUUGGACCAAGCUCGAAAAUCGCAAAGAAAUGGUGGUAGUUUUACCAAACAAGGAUGGCUUAGCAUAAUUUCUACCUUCAAUGAGAGGACUGGACAGAAAUAUGAUAGACAACAAUUCAAGAAUAAGUAGGAUAAUAUAAGAAAAGAGUGGGUACUGUGGGAUAAGUUGGUUUCAAGUGAGAUAGGAUUAGGUUGGGAUUAUGAAAGCAAUACUGUGGAUGCUUUAGAUGAUUGGUGGGAGAAGAAGAUAUUAGUAUGAUGUUAUUAUGUGAGGCUUUAUAUUUAUUUUAUUUAUUUAUGUAUUCUAUAAUAUUAUUGAUAAUUUAUGUGCAAGAAAAUCCAUUAUACGAGAAAAUCAGACAUAAAGGAUUACCAUUUGCCAAUGAAUUAACCGAGUUUUUCCAAGGUACUAUUGCUAAUAGACCUAGAGCAUGGGCACCUUCAAGUAGAGUUUUGCCAAACAUUUACAAUAGGAAUGAAAGUGAGGAUGAAGAGGUGUAUCAGCCAGAUAUGGCAAAUGAGGGUAUUGAUUUGGAGGAAGGUUCAGGAGAUAGUGAUGAGAUCUUAGGAACUACUGGAGUAAGCGAUGAAUUUAAUAGAGUAGUUCUAAAUGCUUCUCAAGGAACCUUAAGUGGAGGCAGUGGUAAGAGGAAGAGGGCCGAAAGCACUAACAAUAGAAAGAAGAACAAGUUACCUAUUAUAAGUCAAAUAGCAAAUGCAAUGAGUGUGAUAGCUCAGACAACAAAGGAAGAAUCUCAACAGGUUAAGGAAACAUCAAUUCCUGAAGUCAUGUCUAUAGUCAAACAAUAGGAAGAAGUUGCAACUAACAAACAUUGGGUUUCAUGAUGCAUGUCACUCUUCAUGUCCCGAGAGGCUAGGGUGAUGUUUUUGACAAUGAAGGAUGAUAAAGAAAGUAUUUUGGAGUGGUUGAGAUAUGAAUGUUAUAAAAAUGGUUGAUUAUUAGAGUUUUAAAACUUAUUAUGAGCAUAUGAUCUUACUUAAAGAGUAGUCCAACAUGUUUGUAUUAUAUUGUUGAAUUUGAAUUAUGUAUCCUCUUAAACUACUUAUGUACUUUUUAUAUAUGGUAAUCAAGUAUUACAAUGUUGUGGAAAAGUUAUUGGUAUUUCUAUAAAUGACUUAUUUAGAUGUAUCUAUAAUUGAAAUUAAAUGCAUGUAUUAUUUAUGUGUUUGGCUACAGAUAGCAAUACAUAUGGAAGAUUCGUCUAAAAAAAGGCUAAAGAGAGCCUAAAAAGUUAGUGCUCUCAUUGGGUUGUAUGCAACAAAACAUUUGUGCAAAGAGCCAUGAAGAAAUAGUGAAUAUAUAGGUCAUUUGUGGGUAAAUGAAAUUUUAGAAGGACACCCAGUUCGUUGUUAUGAAAUGUUUAGAAUGGAACCACAUGUGUUCCAUCAAUUAUGCAGUAAAUUGACAUAGCAUGGAUUGAAGGAUACUAGGCGAAUGAGAGUACAGGAGAUGGUUGCAAUUUUUUUAAAUACAAUUGGAUAUGGGUUGGGAAAUAGGAUGGCACAAGAAAGAUUUCAACAUUCAGGAGAGACUAUUCACAGACAUUUUUAUGAAGUCUUAAUGGCUUGCUCAAAACUUGCAAUAGAAUAUAUCAAACCACAAGACAAGUCCUUUCAUCACGUAUCAAACAAAAUAGAAAAUGAUAAGCAAUAUUGGCCAUUCUUUAAAAAUGCCAUUGGAUCAAUUGAUCGCACACAUAUUCCAUGUGUAGUCCCUGCUAGUGAAAAAUCAAAAUAUAUUGAAAGAAAAGGAAUCCCUACACAAAAUGUAACGGCUGUGUGUGAUUGGGACAUGUGCUUUACUUUUGUCUUGGCUGGAUGGGAGGGCACUGCACAUGAUGCUCGCAUUUUUCAACAUGCCCUGACAACUCAAUCCAUGAACUUUCCACAUCUGCCUUUAGGUAUAUUUGUUUGUUCAAUUUAUUUGUGUUAGACUUUCCAACUUAUAGGCAUUAAUAAUAAUCUUUUUUUUACAAGAUAAAUAUUAUUCGGUGGAUGCUGGCUAUCCAACACCAAAUGGAUAUCUUAGUUCGUAUAGACGGGAAUGCUACCAUCUUCCUGAUUUUAGAAGAUCAAUUGGAUUUGCAAAUAAUAACGAGGUCUUUAAUUAUUUUCAUUCAAGUUUAUAGUGCACAAUAGAAAGAAUAUUUAGAGUUUGGAAGAACAGGUUUGCAAUUUUAUGCAACAUGCUUAGCUAUGACUACGAUAUACAAGUUCAAAUCAUUGUUGCAUUAAUGGCGAUACAUAAUUUCAUUAGAAGACACUCUAACUCUGAUGCUGAUUUUAUUCAUCAUGAGAGGGAAAUAUCAGGAAGACCAUGAGGAUCAAGAAGACCAUGACGUUGAUGAAUAUUCAUCCAUGACAUCUUCAUCAGCUAUGACUAGUAUUCGUGAUAUCAUUAGGGACCAACUUGUAUAUUAUCAUUUUCAUUAGUUAUUGUAAAAUUACUAUUUUAUAUUUAAGAAUUUAAUUUUCUUGUC